rnacentral:tRNA from 1 species
GCCCGCGUAGCUCGAUAGGACGAGCACCCGACUCGUAAACGGGAGGAUCCGGUUCGAUCCCGGACGUGGGCU